UCUGGUAAUGAUGGCAGAGAGGUCACACCCGUUCCCAUACCGAACACGGAAGUUAAGCUCUCUAGCGCCG
rnacentral:rRNA from 3 species